UACGUAGGGGGCAAGCGUUGUCCGGAUUUAUUGGGCGUAAAGAGCGUGUAGGCGGCUAGAUAGGUCCGUUGUGAAAACUCGAGGCUCAACCUCGAGACGUCGAUGGAAACCAUCUGGCUAGAGUCCGGAAGAGGAGAGUGGAAUUCCUGGUGUAGCGGUGAAAUGCGCAGAUAUCAGGAAGAACACCCGUGGCGAAGGCGGCUCGCUGGGACGUUACUGACACUGAGGCGCGAAAGCGUGGGGAGCGAACAGG
rnacentral:rRNA from 1 species